GUACGGAAUAACUGCGGGAAACCUCAGCUAAUACCGUAUAAUGGCUCCGGCCCAAAGAUUUAUCGCCUUAGAAUGAGCCCGCGUUUGAUUAGGUAGUUGGUGAGGUAAAAGCUCACCAAGCCGACGAUCAAUAGCUGGUCUGAGAGGAUGAUCAGCCACACUGGUACUGAGACACGGACCAGACUCCUACGGGAGGCAGCAGUAAGGGAUAUUGGACAAUGGAGGAAACUNUGAUCCAGCCAUGCCGCGUGAGUGAAGAAGGCCUUCGGGUUGUAAAACUCUUUCAGAUGUGAAGAUGAUGACGGUAACAUCAGAAGAAGCUCCGGCUAACUUCGUGCCAGCAGCCGCGGUAAUACGAAGGGGGCGAGCGUUGUUCGGAAUCACUGGGCUUAAAGCGUAUGUAGGCGGAUUUGCAAGUCAGGAGUGAAAUCCCGGGGCUCAACCCCGGAACUGCUUCUGAAACUGCAAGUNUAGUGUCCCGGAGAGGUUGGCGGAAUUCCGAGUGUAGAGGUGAAAUUCGCAGAUAUUCGGAGGAACACCAGUGGCGUAGGCGGCCAACUGGACGGGUACAGACGCUGAGAUACGAAAGCGUGGGGAGCAAACAGGAUUAGAUACCCUGGUAGUCCGCGCCGUAAACGAUGGGGACUCGGCGUUCGGGAGCAAUCCCGAGUGCCCAAGCGAAAGCAUUAAGUCCCCCACCUGGGGAGUACGCCGGCAACGGUGAAACUCAA
rnacentral:rRNA from 1 species